rnacentral:misc_RNA from 1 species
GAAAUGCGAUACGUAAUGUGAAUUGCAGAAUUCAGUGAAUCAUCGAAUCUUUGAACGCAUAUUGCGCUCUCUGGUAUUCCGGAGAGCAUGCUUGUUUGAGUAUCAGUAAACACCUCAACUUCCAUAUCUUUUUUGAAAUGGGAGUUGGACUUGAGUGAUCCCAACGCUUUUCCUCACCGAAAAGUGGCGGGUUACUUGAAAUGCAGGUGCAGCUGGACUUUUCUCUGUGAAUCCUGCAUCAGUCUGCCUUAAAAACAGAUUAUUACCUUUGCUGCAGCUAACAUAAAGGAGAUUAGUUCUUGUGCUGACUGAUGCAGGAUUCACAGAGACAGCUUCGCGGCUGACUUUGUAAACUCGAUCUCAAAUCAAGUAAGACUACCCGCUGAACUUAA